GGUUUUACUCACAGGAGGCACAACACAAUGGCGGAUGUUGGGUAUCUAAAGAUGAUGGUUGCAAGCUCCGACGUGACACGGUACAAUGGGUUGGUUGUUUAAGUGUCUGUGUGAGUCAGUGACCGCAUCCUUCUGCUGCUCCAGACGAUUCACGUGCCCGGUAUCUGCCUGCUAUGCCCACUUCUCACCACCUGUGCCAAGGCCAGGUACUGGCACCCGCCGGGUUGAACAAGAGUAGACAACUUCCAUGAACCGGAGAGACUUCUAGAACCAGGGUUCUAUAUUCUGUAUUUGUUUUUAAUCCAAGGAAUACAGAAGAUUUACUGCAAUUCAAUGAAUGAAUUAAUACACAAUUACAUUGGAGAUGUUUCAAUUUCUACUGUAGAUUAAAACGAAUCUUACACUUCACAGCCUGCACAAAGUCAGCGACUUUGGGAUGGGUAUACUGCUGUAUGGAUUGUUGGAUUAUUCUGCAACAAAGUUGUGCGUGCAAUUCUUCUUCGUUUGCAUUCAGGUAGUGGUUUCCCCUCGAACUUACUAACAUCUCUCACAUGUAUGAAGAAAAAGUGAAUGCAUUCCCCUCCCCCUCCAACUCAGGCACAACCCUAUUAGAGAUUAUAUGAGGUAUGAUGCCCCAUUCCCCUCCCCCUACAACCCUAUUAGAGAUUAUAUGAGGUAUGAUGCCCCAUUCCCCUCCCCCCACAACCCUAUUAGAGAUUAUAUGAGGUAUGAUGCCCCAUUCCCCUCCCCCUACAACCCUAUUAGAGAUUAUAUGAGGUAUGAUGCCCCAUUCCCCUCCCCCUACAACCCUAUUAGAGAUUGUAUGAGGUAUGAUGCCCCAUUCCCCUCCCCCUACAACCCUAUUAGAGAUUGUAUGAGGUAUGAUGCCCCAUUCCCCUCCCCCCACAACCCUAUUAGAGAUUAUAUGAGGUAUGAUGCCCCAUUCCCCUCCCCCUACAACCCUAUUAGAGAUUAUAUGAGGUAUGAUGCCCCAUUCCCCUCCCCCUACAACCCUAUUAGAGAUUGUAUGAGGUAUGAGGCCACAUUCCCCUCCUUGCUCUCCCUGUUUCUCAGCAGCUGAUACCAGAUGUGGGGUGGGAGCGGGCCAGUGUCCAAGACUGAUCUCACACACAGUCACAACCCCCCCUGAGGCUCUCUCUCCCUCAUCAUCAUUCAUCCCUCAUACACUCUACCUCAACCCGACCAAAAACAACAUACUUCAUCCGCACUGGGAGUCUCAGUUCACUAACACAGAAGACACACACACAAACACACACACACACACGCACACACACGCACACACACAAUACACAAUACACAAACACACACUACACUCUAACACACACACA